rnacentral:rRNA from 1 species
AUUGAACGCUGGCGGCAGGCCUAACACAUGCAAGUCGAGCGGUAGAGAGGUGCUUGCAUCUCUUGAGAGCGGCGGACGGGUGAGUAAUGCCUAGGAAUCUGCCUAGUGGUGGGAGAUAACGUUCGGAAACGGACGCUAAUACCGCAUACGUCCUACGGGAGAAAGCGGGGGAUCUUCGGACCUCGCGCCAUUAGAUGAGCCUAGGUCGGAUUAGCUAGUUGGUGAGGUAAUGGCUCACCAAGGCGACGAUCCGUAACUGGUCUGAGAGGAUGAUCAGUCACACUGGAACUGAGACACGGUCCAGACUCCUACGGGAGGCAGCAGUGGGGAAUAUUGGACAAGUGGGCGAAAGACCUGAUCCAGCCAUGCCGCGUGUGUGAAGAAGGUCUU